GGCGGCGUGCUUAACACAUGCAAGUCGAGCGGAAAGGCCCUUCGGGGUACUCGAGCGGCGAACGGGUGAGCAACACGUGAGUAACCUGCCCCAGACUUUGGGAUAACCUUCGGAAACGGAGGCUAAUACCGGAUACGACCUCGUGCCGCAUGGCAUGUUGGUGGAAAGUUUUUCGGUUUGGGAUGGACUCGCGGCCUAUCAGCUUGUUGGUGGGGUAAUGGCCUACCAAGGCGACGACGGGUAGCCGGCCUGAGAGGGCGACCGGCCACACUGGGACUGAGACACGGCCCAGACUCCUACGGGAGGCAGCAGUGGGGAAUAUUGCACAAUGGGCGGAAGCCUGAUGCAGCGACGCCGCGUGAGGGAUGACGGCCUUCGGGUUGUAAACCUCUUUCAGCAGGGACGAAGCGCAAGUGACGGUACCUGCAGAAGAAGCGCCGGCCAACUACGUGCCAGCAGCCGCGGUAAGACGUAGGGCGCGAGCGUUGUCCGGAUUUAUUGGGCGUAAAGAGCUCGUAGGCGGCUUGUCGCGUCGAAUGUGAAAUCUCAGGGCUCAACUCUGACAUUGCAUUCGAUACGGGCAGGCUAGAGUUCGGUAGGGGAGACUGGAAUUCCUGGUGUAGCGGUGAAAUGCGCAGAUAUCAGGAGGAACACCGGUGGCGAAGGCGGGUCUCUGGGCCGAUACUGACGCUGAGGAGCGAAAGCGUGGGGAGCGAACAGGAUUAGAUACCCUGGUAGUCCACGCUGUAAACGUUGGGCGCUAGGUGUGGGGGACCUCUCCGGUCUUCUGCGCCGCAGCUAACGCAUUAAGCGCCCCGCCUGGGGAGUACGGCCGC
rnacentral:rRNA from 1 species